GACGAACGCUGGCGGCGUGCUUAACACAUGCAAGUCGAACGGUGAAGGGACCGGUUUUUGCUGGUUCUGGAUGAGUGGCGAACGGGUGAGUAACACGUGAGUAACCUGCCCCCUUCUUCUGGAUAACCGCAUGAAAGUGUGGCUAAUACGGGAUAUUCUGCGCCUGCUGCAUGGUGGGUGUGUGAAAGAUAUUGUUUCGGUGGGGGAUGGGCUCGCGGCCUAUCAGCUUGUUGGUGGGGUGAUGGCCUACCAAGGCGGUGACGGGUAGCCGGCCUGAGAGGGUGGACGGUCACACUGGGACUGAGACACGGCCCAGACUCCUACGGGAGGCAGCGGUGGGGAAUAUUGCACAAUGGGCGCAAGCCUGAUGCAGCGACGCCGCGUGGGGGAUGGAGGCCUUCGGGUUGUAAACCUCUUUCGCCAGUGAAGCAGGCCUGUCCCUUUUGUGGGUGGGUUGACGGUAGCUGGAUAAGAAGCGCCGGCUAACUACGUG
rnacentral:rRNA from 1 species